AUCAUACAAUUUUCGACUUAUAACUUCGACUUUAAUUUCGACUUUGGGAUUGAAUGCGACUGUAGACGCCAUUUUUAAUAUUGGUCCUCCUGAAGUUGUAUUAUAAAAGGAUAUCUCCGAGUUAAGUUAUUCAUACGUAUUGAAUUCGUGCAUCUCAGAAAUGGAACUUUUGAAACGCAGUCUACUUUUCCUCGCGGCUCUGAUGGUGGCAACUUUGUCUGUCAUCCAGGCUGUUCCUGACCCUGAUCCACAACUCCGCCCUAUCGGCAGAAAAUGAAUACUCCUGACUGUUUGGAUUUGCAGUAUGGAAGACGACCGAAUAUGCCUCUUCUGCAAGAAUAAAAAUGCUUCUACAGAAAUUAAAAAUAACUUCUAAAAGUUUUUUUAAUUUGUUAUUCAAUCUCAUGUUAACGAAAAUUUUUU